UGUCUGUUAGUAUAUCGGUUAGUACACGCGCCUGUCAAGUACGCAGUACUGGCCGCGCGAAAGCGGGGUUCGACUCCCCGACAGAGAG